rnacentral:rRNA from 1 species
UACAGAGGUGGCAAGCGUUGUUCGGAAUUACUGGGCGUAAAGGGCGCGUAGGCGGCCAUCUAAGUCAGACGUGAAAUCCCUCAGCUCAACUGGGGAACUGCGUCUGAGACUGGCCGGCUUGAGUGCAGGAGAGGAACGCGGAAUUCCAGGUGUAGCGGUGAAAUGCGUAGAUAUCUGGAGGAACACCGGUGGCGAAGGCGGCGUUCUGGACUGCAACUGACACUGAGGAACGAAAGCCAGGGGAGCAAACGGG